GAAGUGCAGUAGCUUGCUCCGUUCUGUCAGAAUGAUAUAUUAGUAAUGACUACAAUUACACUUGUCCGUCCCCAUCUCUGGAAAACCAAAUAUCUUCGACAUACAACUCCCCAGAUAUAUGCAGAAAACACACAAGGUUUGGGAUUACUAAAAAUUGAAUGAGGACAAAAAGGAUGAAAGCAAAUACCCAUGUAUUUGGGAAUCCACCAGG
rnacentral:misc_RNA from 1 species